CGAAAUGCGAUAAGUAAUGUGAAUUGCAGAAUUCAGUGAAUUAUCGAAUCUUUGAACGCACAUUGCGCCCGCCAGUAUUCUGGCGGGCAUGCCUGUCCGAGCGUCAUUUCAACCAUCAAGCCCCCGGGCUUGUGUUGGGGACCUGCGGCUGCCCGCAGGCCCUGAAAACCAGUGGCGGGCUCGCUGUCACACCGAGCGUAGUAGCAAUCACCUCGCUCAGGGCGUGCUGCGGGUUCCGGCCGUUAAACAGCCUUACAAAACCCAAGGUUGACCUCGGAUCAGGUAGGAAGACCCGCUGAACUUAAGC
rnacentral:misc_RNA from 1 species